CUGCCGGAUCGUUUCUCCGGGCGUUACCGGUCGCUUCUUUCUUGAUGUCAAAGCCAUUGUUCCCUCCGUUACCAUCGAAGGCCUACCGUUCUUUCCUCCUCCUCAUACUCGCCGUCAAGGGACAGCGCCGCCAUUCGUUCGGGAUUUGAGUUCUUCGAGGUUCGAUUUUCCAUCCCUACCUCGCCUUUUGAAUCAAUCAAUAUAUAGUGUUAUGGUGCUUUUCCACGUCGCAAUCUUUGGGAGUUUCCGGAUAAUGCUUCCUUGGACUCUUUCUCGGUCGUUUCUUGUAUGAUCGAUCAUCCAUACGGGCGUCCACUAUAGAGUCCAUUUUCUUCAUUGUGAUCGUGCUUUUCGUUUCAUUGAGUAACCCUAGCGACUGAAAAGUAAAAGGCGAACCAAUAAGUGUAGCAUCAUCGCCUUUAUGCCUCUGGGAGAGUUGGCAACAAAAAAGAGCGAAAAGGUGACCAGAUAAGCACCGCAACUGCAGCUCCAAGGAGCAAAGAAUCCCUAAAUGCUUAGGGUUUGCCCAGUGCUGACCCAUUCGCCUUUUGCAAGUAUGUAAAUUAUUGUAGGAAAUAAUAGAAAAUUUGUUAACCGAGGCCGUUAUGGGAUAGGGGGUAGCAAUUUGGGCUAUUCAGGUUCAUUCGAUGUGGAGUUCGAGGUUUAUACUGGAGGUUAUUGCCUUUUGGUAGAGGUGCAGACCAUUCACAGGACUCAAAUUCCCUAUGUUUGAUCGAUCAAUCCGAUGUGUUUUAAGCUCAGGAAAUGUUGUAUACAUAUGUGUCCAUUGUCUUGACCCCCUAUCCUUCUGCAAAUUGGCAAGUUAUUGUAGGAAAUAAUAGAAAAUCUGUUCCCUAUACCUGUUCUUGACUUUAAUCAUGGGAUAAAGAUUAGCAUUUGGGCUAUUAAGAGGUUCAUUCGGUGUGGAGUUUUUAGGUUUAUACAUCAGGGUAUUUUCUUUUGUUAGAGGUGCAGAUCAUUCACAGGACUCAAAUUCUCUGUUUGAUCGUACAAUUCAAUGUGUUUUUGUCUUGUGAAGCUAUGAUGUUUUGUUCCAUAUUCUGUUGCUGACCUCCUUAAUUGGUUAGUGGGCACGUCCCUAUUUUCCUUCUUAAGCCAAUCUAAAACAAUACAUUUUUGCAUUAACGGUUCUAAGUUUAUUAAGCUAAUCUUUUUUGCUACCAAAAUCUCCUUCUGUUGAUUGAGGUCGCGGUUAUGUCAUGGUACAUAAUGAGAAAUUUGGUACACUUGUGAGUAUUGGGCACAUCUCAUGCUUGCCAGUAUAUAGAAUCUUAACUGCAACAACACUUGCACAUGACAUGAUUCAGCAUAUGACAUGUCUUGUAGGUCUCUAUGGCUAGGACCUUCCUCCUUGUUUCUAAUUAAACUUUUGGGGCUUAGGCAUGUAUUACUUUAAUUCUAAGUAAUGAUCAUUAGUUUGUGAUUAGGGGCAUUUGUUGGGAACUACAGUCAUCAUAGGAGGAUUGUGAUUUAAGAAUUAUGUUGUUUGUGUAGUAAACUCAAUGCUAUUGUGUGUGUAUAUAUAUUGUGUAUGUGUGUAGGUAUAUAAAUAUAUAUAUAUAUAUAUAUAUAUAUGUGUGUGUGUGUGUGUGCACGCGUGCAUACAUAUAUAUAUGCUAUUGUGUUUAAAUUUUAGCAUAAUUUAGUCAGAUUUGAAAAGCUCUAAGCCAGACUAGUUGAUGUUGGAUUCUUAGAUGCCUUUGUGAUGGCAUCAAAGAACAAGCCUAUAUGAUCUUGACCAAGUAUAAAUAUUCUAAACGCUUAACUUAUUGGGAACUCAAGGUAUCUUCUUUUAUGCAUUUCACUGUAGGAUAUUUUAUGCUCUUUCAAACAAUUCCCGUCAGACAUUUAUUCCUAUAGAUCAUGUUGCAUAGACAGAGUUCUCUUAUGGAGAUGAAAAUGUGACAGACUGGUUUUGCCUGUUGAUGUCUUGUCAUUAUGCUAGGUACUCUUAGUUGGCAUUCGAACUGUGGAGUCAAUGGUUCUAACACAUGGAAAAAUACAAAAGACAACUAUCUCUAAAACAAAUAUAGCUAGCAUGCUGAUAUGUGACCAGAAUUAUGUGGAUGCAGUCUGGGAAAUACUGUUCAGUUCUAUCAUUAUCUUUUAGUUAUAGUAAUGUUCUCUUUUUCAUCUUUUGUACCUUUGAUGGGCCC
rnacentral:lncRNA from 1 species